CGUAGCCCCAGCAGGCCUGUGGCCAGGAAGCUCCCUCCUAAACUCCUCUUCCAGUCUGAUUAGGGGCUUCCUAGAGGCAGCAGGAGUGAUAGAGGGGCCUUCCGCUAGGUCUUUGUGUCCUCACCAGCUGGCUCCUCUGCUGGUAACAUCUUGAUGGGACCACGUAAGCAGCCACAAAACAAAACACGUCAACUAGGUGUAAGCUGCAGAGGCCUUUCUCGUCACUGUCUGUCAGCCUUCUCCCACCCCGUCCUCCACGGCUCCCUUCUCUGGUGCUGCCCCUAGGAGAGUCCACAGCACCAGUGAUCAUUUAUCUGCCAGCAAGCCCCACAUAGAAGUUUCCAGUUCAUGUCUCUCUGGAGCUUCAGAGGGGAAUGGACAGGGGACACUUCUGCACACAGCUCAGCUUGUCCCAAGUGGGAAGUGUAUUACCCCAGCCAGCCUGCUCACUCUUCCCUCUCCAGAGUCCUGGGGACUACCUCUCCCAUCUGCUGAUGCUCUAGACCAGCCCCCUCCCCCCCAGUCUUCCUCUGUCACUUCUCCAUCUUCCUUCCCUUCCUCGCUGGUCACCUCCAAAUCUGGCCACUCCACCUCCUUCCUCCUCUCCAGGGGUCCCCCCCCACCCAUUCCUGCUCCCAUACCUUCACCCCUUCCCUGGGCUAGUGGUGUUCUUGCUAACUCCAGGCCUGCGUCAACCUACCCAUUUUGUAUACGACUAGAGAUAGCUACCUAGACCAGGGGAUCUCACCCAGGGUGAUUUUGCCUUCAGGGGACAGUGGGCAGAUGUUUGGGGAUGUUUGCGGCUGUCAUGACUAGGGGCACUCUUGGCAUUGAGGGGGUGGAAGUCGGAGAUGCUGCUCAACUUCUCACAGCCCAGGAUGCCCCACAUGUCCACAGUGCCAAGGGAGAGAGGCCCUGGUCUGCACACAUACAAUGGCGCUACUCCCUGGCCCUUCAGUAGCUCUUUGCCACCCUCAGCACCAAGUUCAAAGUCUUGGUCCUCACCUGACUCUCCUCACCAGCCCUUGCUCCUAGCCAUUCCAUGUGUAUUCUCCCAAAGGAAUCCUGACACCUGCUGUAACGUGGAGGGACCCCGAGGACACUGUGCGCCACAGGACAGAAGGACAGAAGCCAGACACGGACAAAUCCUGCGUGACCCCACUCACAGGAGGUCCCUAGAGGAGUCCCAUCCACAGAGACAGAGAAUUGGGCUGGGAGAGAAUGGACAACGAAAGCUGAGUGCAAAGAGGGAAGAUAGCCGAUUAAGAGAAAUAAGAGAGAACCCAAGAAGGCGAUUGCUGGCUCACACGGUGACCUUGAGCUAAGAGAAAGCCCUGGACAGGAUGAGGCACAGUUUAUUAUUUUUUUUGAAAGAAACGUAGGAGGAUAAGUUACCACCUGCGCUUGAGAGAUACAUGAGAACACCCCAGACAAAUCUAAAGAAUGAGUGCAGUUGCAAAAGAAGAGAAAUGAGUAGGCACAGACUUGCUGUCCCCAGUUAUGGGAAUGACCAGUAGAAGCUUCAAGAAGGACUGACCCCGGUUCCAAGAUCUGAAGUGUGCACGGAGUUAGAGGGAAGGAAGAGGCAGGGUCCCUAGAACACAGAGACCCAAAUUGUGAGCUGUGAACACCAGCGUCUCCAAGCUGAGCCUGUGCCUUGCCUAGCAUCCAGCUCGAGUACAUACCCCCUGUCCCGACGUUCCCGGGCCCAGGCGGGAGGCGAAAUGCCAGCCUCUCAUCCCAACUCGGCAGGGAUGGGGUGACACCGAGGAAGUCACCCCCAUCUGGGGUGACCAAGUGUCUUAGGUCACCUGGAACUGUUUCAGUCAUUACCUGGAGAUCAGGACAUCUGGGCACCUGCUCCCCCUCUGUCUUCAUCUACCAGGAAGGGUCUGGAGCAAUUCAGGGGUUCCCAAGGGGGUGCUGAGCACGACACCAGGGCGGGAACAACUUGUUUCCAGCCCCCCGACAAUGCCGGGGACAGCUUCAGCUUGGAGCCAACAUGUUCCUAAUGCCACUCUUAACUCUUGUCAGUGACUGUUUUCAAAAAGGGCGUGAACUGUGGGUGCACAGCCUUCAGGGAGAGUACCCAGCCCAGUGCCUAGGGUGAAGGGAUCGAGGGGCUGGCCUCAGGGGCAAAGUGCAAGGGUGCCCCCACAAACCUCAGUUCAAGAUAAAUAUUUUUACACAGCAUUUUAAACAUAUAAACAUUAACAGCAAGAAAACAAGCAACCAAAUACCGAUGUGGCACACACAGACAGGACUUUGCACGUCCCCGACCAUCUCUCUCUCUGCCCCACUCCCAGCCCUGCCGGGUGCUGUGUUGGUUUGAAACUUCGAUAUUUUGCUCAUUGGGAAUUUCUCUGCGUUCAUUGGUGUUUUCCUGAUAGCACUGCAGCAUCAUUUCUCAUGAACACUGACUUUUUUUGUCCCUUCAAAUUCUGUGCCCGAGGUGAGCGUCCUGCCUGCCUUGCUUCGUCUGGUCCCCGAAGGGCAGUAGCUACCUGACAAUACUGGUUUUCUUCCCAUGUAUUUAUUUAUUGUCAGUGACCUCCUCUUUCUUGUUUGUUUUUUUUUUUUCAGUGUUUGUUUACUUUGAGAGAGAGUGUGCUAGUGGGGGACGAGCAGAGAGAGAGGGGGACAGAGGAUCCAAAGCAGGCUCUGCACUGACAGCAGCAAGCCUGAUGUGGGGUUCGAACUCACCAACCCACAAGAUUAUGACCUGAGUCGAAGUCAGACACUCAGCUGACUGAGCCCCCCCAGGUGCCCCUUUCUUAUUUUCUAUUUGUGUUGCAGUGACUACAUUUUCUUUUUAAAAAGGAAAAAAAAAUUAAUUUAAAAAAGUAGGCCAUUUCAAGAAGAUUUAGUGAAUAUUUUCACGGUCUCCCUCCAGAUAGGUGCCCUCCUCCAGUGACGCCACUCAGUCUUGUGGUUUUAAUAACAUCCCUGAAUUCUACAAGCUCCUGGCCAGACUCCUCUUCUGAAUUCUGGACUCGGGUCCAGCUGGCUGCUGGAGCCGCCUCCUGCUGGUGACCCAAGGUGACCCCGUGGGCCCUCCCUUCCUGGUAUUCACACCCCUGGGCAGUCUCGCCCCCUGAGUUUGUGUGGCUUGCUUCUACCCAUUGGAACGCAGCAGAGCCAAUGGGCCAUCCCUGUCCUGAGUAUAUUGCAUUAGGUAAGACCCUGUAUUGGCAGACUGGAGCUAACAACCCCCUUGCUGGCUUGAUGAAGUAUGUGGCCACCUAGGAGACCCCCAGAUGACCUGUAGGAACAGAGGGCGGCCACCAGCUGGCAGGCUGCCAAAACCAGGCCCUCCAUGCUCGCCCAUGACCUGAAUGAGUUUGGAAGGUGGGUCUUAGCCCAGUCUGGCCUUCAGUUGAGAACACGGUCUCGUGUGACCCUGAGCACAGGGGCCAGCUCAGCCACGUCCAGAUUCCAGACCCACAGAAACCGAGAGGUGUUAAAUGUGAGCUGGUUCAAGCCACCAAACUUGUGGUGACCACAGCCCAACGACUGGCAAGCUGCUCAGAUCUGACGCACACCAGACUGAACCCUGUGGCUUCCCACGGCCUUCCCUGCCUCAGGCAGCACCUUCUGUGAUCAACUGAGACCACAUCUCCUAGGGUCAGCAUGACCUGUUUCCACAGCCUGGAAGUGCUGGCUGCCCCACCCCAGAACAUACCUAGCAUUGGCCCACCUGUGCCGUACCUGCCUUGGUUAAACAGAGAACCACCCAGGCCUCAUCACAGGGCCGGUGGCUUCCAUCCUCAGCGGCUAAAACCUGACUCAGGCCAUGUCCCACCUCUGCUCAAUCCUCCCCGGGGCUUUCACUCAGGGCAAAAUGCCUGGGAGACCCAGUCCCACCCAUCCUCCCUCAUGUGUCCUCAGCUGUUCCUCCUUCCUCCCUCACUAGAGCCACGGAGCCUUCCCACUGCUCCUCAAACGUGCAAGACACAAUCCUGCCCCGGGGCCUUUGCAUCUGCUGUGCCUGCUGCCUGCCAUGCUUAUCUAUAUCCUCAUGGCAGAUGCUUCCACCCCCCCUGCUGUGUCUGUUUUCUCCUGGAUUGUGCAGUCUGCACCCUUGGGAGUAGACUGCAGGAUGGCGCUGAGCCUGGACUUCCAUGGGUCCCUUUGGGAGAAGCAGAAGUCAGGGAAAGAGCAAGUGGACGUUCUCUUCAUUCUUAGCCCAAUCCUGACCGAGAGAACCGCCGUCUCACCCCACACUCUGGCCCCUCACGGCUCCAGGGGGCACAGCUUGGUGUCAACGGCUGGGAUGUCACUCCUCAGGACAGUGUGCCAGAGCAAUGGACCAAGGCUUCAAGGGCUGCCACGAGAGGCAUCGUCUCGGGGGCCGCUUGCCGCGACGAUGCUCACGCACCACUGCACAGACGCAGGCCCGGAAGCGGUUCUUCCGGCCCCGGCCAACACCCUGACGGCGACAUCAUGAGAGGCCCUGAGCCCAGACCACCUGCAUCAAUCAUCCCCAGAUCCCGCCCCACGGAAACCGUGGCAUGAUAAACUGAUCAACGUUUGUUGUCAGUAAACCUUACCCCCAACAUGGGGCUCGAACUCCUGACUCCAAGAUCAAGAGUCACAGUCUCCCCCAACUGAGCCUACCAGGUGCCUCUAAUCAAUGUUUUAAUCUGCUAA